UGGGGAAUUUUGCACAAUGGGGGAAACCCUGAUGCAGCGACGCCGCGUGAUUUAGAAGGCCUUCGGGUUGUAAAAAUCUUUUCUAUGGGAAGAAAAUCACAGUACCAUAGGAAUAAGGACCGGCUAAUUACGUGCCAGCAGCCGCGGUAAUACGUAAGGUCCGAGCGUUGUCCGGAAUCAUUGGGCGUAAAGGGUACGUAGGCGGGUAAGCAAGUUAGAAGUGAAAUCCUAUAGCUCAACUAUAGUAAGCUUUUAAAACUGCUCAUCUUGAGGUAUGGAAGGGAAAGUGGAAUUCCUAGUGUAGCGGUGAAAUGCGCAGAUAUUAGGAGGAAUACCGGUGGCGAAGGCGACUUUCUGGCCAUAACCUGACGCUGAGGUACGAAAGCGUGGGUAGCAAACAGG
rnacentral:rRNA from 1 species